UACGUAGGGGGCAAGCGUUGUCCGGAAUCAUUGGGCGUAAAGCGCGCGUAGGCGGCCCGGUAAGUCCGUUGUGAAAGUCAAAGGCUCAACCUUUGAACGCCGAUGGAUACUGCCGGGCUAGAGUCCGGAAGAGGCGAGUGGAAUUCCUGGUGUAGCGGUGGAAUGCGCAGAUAUCAGGAGGAACACCAAUAGCGAAGGCAGCUCGCUGGGACGGUACUGACGCUGAGGCACGAAGGUCAGGGGAGCAAACGGG
rnacentral:rRNA from 1 species